rnacentral:rRNA from 1 species
UGGGGAAUAUUGGACAAUGGGCGAAAGCCUGAUCCAGCCAUGCCGCGUGUGUGAAGAAGGCCUUUUGGUUGUAAAGCUCUUUAAGCGAGGAGGAGGCUACUUAGAUUAAUACUCUAGGAUAGUGGACGUUACUCGCAGAAUAAGCACCGGCUAACUCUGUGCCAGCAGCCGCGGUAAUACAGAGGGUGCGAGCGUUAAUCGGAUUUACUGGGCGUAAAGCGUGCGUAGGCGGCUUCUUAAGUCGGAUGUGAAAUCCCUGAGCUUAACUUAGGAAUUGCAUUCGAUACUGGGAAGCUAGAGUAUGGGAGAGGAUGGUAGAAUUCCAGGUGUAGCGGUGAAAUGCGUAGAGAUCUGGAGGAAUACCGAUGGCGAAGGCAGCCAUCUGGCCUAAUACUGACGCUGAGGUACGAAAGCAUGGGGAGCAAACAGG